UGCAAGUCGAGCGAAGCACUUUGCUUAGAUUCUUCGGAUGAAGAGGAUUGUGACUGAGCGGCGGACGGGUGAGUAACGCGUGGGUAACCUGCCUCAUACAGGGGGAUAACAGUUAGAAAUGACUGCUAAUACCGCAUAAGACCACAGCACCGCAUGGUGCGGGGGUAAAAACUCCGGUGGUAUGAGAUGGACCCGCGUCUGAUUAGCUAGUUGGUAAGGUAACGGCUUACCAAGGCGACGAUCAGUAGCCGACCUGAGAGGGUGACCGGCCACAUUGGGACUGAGACACGGCCCAAACUCCUACGGGAGGCAGCAGUGGGGAAUAUUGCACAAUGGGGGAAACCCUGAUGCAGCGACGCCGCGUGAGCGAAGAAGUAUUUCGGUAUGUAAAGCUCUAUCAGCAGGGAAGAAAAUGACGGUACCUGACUAAGAAGCACCGGCUAAAUACGUGCCAGCAGCCGCGGUAAUACGUAUGGUGCAAGCGUUAUCCGGAUUUACUGGGUGUAAAGGGAGCGUAGACGGAUGGGCAAGUCUGAUGUGAAAACCCGGGGCUCAACCCCGGGACUGCAUUGGAAACUGU
rnacentral:rRNA from 1 species